rnacentral:rRNA from 1 species
AUACGUAGGUGGCGAGCGUUGUCCGGAAUUACUGGGCGUAAAGGGUGCGCAGGCGGACAUUUAAGUGAGAUGUGAAAUACCCGGGCUUAACCCGGGCAGUGCAUUUCAAACUGGGUGUCUGGAGUGCAGGAGAGGAGAACGGAAUUCCUAGUGUAGCGGUGAAAUGCGUAGAGAUUAGGAAGAACACCAGUGGCGAAGGCGGUUCUCUGGACUGUAACUGACGCUGAGGCACGAAAGCGUGGGUAGCAAACAGGAUUAGAUACCCUGGUAGUCCACGCCGUAAACGAUGAGUACUAGGUGUAGGAGGUAUUGACCCCUUCUGUGCCGCAGUAAACACAAUAAGUACUCCGCCUGGGAAGUACGAUCGCAAGAUUAAA